GACGAACGCUGGCGGCGUGCUUAACACAUGCAAGUCGAGCGGUAAGGCCCUUUCGGGGGUACACGAGCGGCGAACGGGUGAGUAACACGUGGGUGACCUGCCCUCAGCUCUGGGAUAAGCCUGGGAAACCGGGUCUAAUACUGGAUAUGACUCCAUGACGCAUGUUGUGGGGUGGAAAGCCUUGUGCGGCUGAGGAUGGGCCCGCGGCCUAUCAGCUUGUUGGUGGGGGAUGGCCUACCAAGGCGACGACGGGUAGCCGGCCUGAGAGGGCGACCGGCCACACUGGGACUGAGACACGGCCCAGACUCCUACGGGAGGCAGCAGUGGGGAAUCUUGCGCAAUGGGCGAAAGCCUGACGCAGCGACGCCGCGUGAGGGAUGACGG
rnacentral:rRNA from 1 species